ensembl:lncRNA
AGUGGAUGUAGGAAAUGGGAUCCACAUGUGUGAGGUGAGGGAACGCCCCUAAUUGCAACGGGCAGCUGAGCAAACCUGACUGAAGGCUUCCAACUGCAAGGCUGACUGAAAACCUGCCCCUAAACAAACCCAAGAAGUUUAAUAGCUACUGUGGAGACUGCAAUUGGAUGCAAAUUUUGGGUCUGGCUUUUCAGAGAUGACACAGCAAGCCCCAGGUCAGAUGUAUGCCCAGUUCACAUCGGUCAGGAGAAGAGUGGGAGAGGAAAUUGUUAUCACAAUUGCAAAAGCCUGGCAGAAAAAUUAUUACAGCGCAGCUGUUUUUAAGAAUGGGUUUCCCACAUCACCCAAUCUCAAGAGACCACCUUGAACACUGCUUGGAAGGAAAGCAGCACUGAAGACAGCCAACUGCAAAAUAACCUGAGUGGCUUCCUCAUCCCACUUUGUCAAGAGUUCUCUGAAAAAGGAAAUGAAGACUUACAGGUUCCUAACUUCACAAGUCCUUUAGAAACAGAAAUGGCUCACAAAGGGAAGCAGAUACCCAUGCAUUUUGGAGGUCAGCCUCCUUUACCAAGGCACAGAGAAGGGAGCUAACUGGCUUGGUGUGCUGUCACCAGGGGCAGAAGGCGAUGCUGGCAGAAGCACUGGCUGUGUGUGGCUGUCCACCUUCCUUACCCUGGGAGCAGAUCCAAAGAUCAUACACUGGGAAAAGCUUAAUGCGUUUUCAUGUGAAAAAUAACCACCUUAGGAAGUGGGCCACAGUCCCACAGGAUAUCCCAGCAUCUCAGCGCCAGGCAUUUCAGCUUGCUGUUGCUGUAGGGCAACCCUGCAAGGAUGGAAAAAUGGGUAGGUUUUGGGCAGACAGGCAGUGUGGGAUGUUUUGCUACAGGUCGGGAAACUUCCUGAGGCUGUUAGACAGGAGGUGCAGGUCAAGUGUGUUUGGAGGUGAGUGGGUGGUGUGAAUCCCCCUCUCCUGAAGAGUUUUCCUCAGACCAAGCUUGGCACAGCCCAGGGUAAGUAGGCCUCAUGCAGCUGAAGAGAGGUUUUGUUUGCUUUCUUGUUUGCUGGUGCAAGGCUUCUCAGAGAGGCUGCUACGAGAAGUCAGGCUGGUAUUUUAACUCGAGUCCAGAAGCAUCAGCCCUGACGCAGAUUGGAGUGGAAAGUUCUCCUCUUAGAAAAACUGAAAUAAGAGGGUGGUUUCGCUCUGUGUACUGCUUGGGCCAGGCAGCUAUCAUUACUGACUUUCAGUCCUCAGUUCAACACGCGCUUAGAGCUCUAGCUCAGAAAUUGCGUGUCCUCUUCCCAUGCAGAGAGGAAAAAGGCAGCUCAGGUCCUCCUGCAUUGCAUGCAUGGUGAGCAGCACAACAUCUUGCUGGCAGCUGCUAAGUGCUGCUCAGCGUGGGCUGCCUCUUAUGCAACACCUGGGCAGUCCCAGGUGCAGACAAACAGGGUUGUGAAGCACAGUGCUUGCAGAACUCUUCCCUCCUUCCUUGUGAAACUCCCUCCUCCAAGCUACUGAAAUCCUGGGAUAAUAAUUAACUAAGUUAAAACUUGCUCCGUAAUCGCAGCCAUGUGCACUUUGCUGGGUGCGUUCAAGUUAGAAAUGUUUGCAUUUUAAGGCUCUUUCUGCGUGAUGGUCUUGCAGCACUAUGCAUACAUUCACUCAUUUGUUUUCACGUUAUGCUUUGUGUUUUAUUUUCAGUUGGAGGGAUGACAAGCUUCUUUUCAGGGUGUCCCUUGAAAGACACACAGGAAAAUUAAUCGCGUUACCUUAAACUGGGAAUAUAAAAAGGAUUUAAAUUGAAGGUGUGGGGGCCUAUUCCUUCCAAGCAAGAGCACUAACCCCCAGGUUAAGCUCAAUAAAUGGGCAGGGCAUCAGGGGACCAGUCUGCUCGGAGAGGUGGUGAGACCUUCAUGGCCACGGGCAGUGGUGGACAGGUGCAGGGCUGUGUGACCACUGCUCAGAACGGUGACAGCACCCAAUGCAGCUGCUUGUGAUGGCUCUAAAGCAGUGACAUUACAGAAAUGAUUGAGCAGAGAAAAACCCAUCUUUCUUCUGAUCCAGACUGGAAAGUCCUGGUUUGGAGAACUGGACAAGCAGAUGACCUUGGGAAAAGCUGAGAGCUGGAGUGAGGGGGAGGGAAGGAAGCCAGACCUCCAGGGAAGGGGUGGUUCUGUUUCAAGCCCUCUGAACUUUGGUUUCUUACACUACAGCCUGAUAAAUGUAGCAGCAGUUAAGACUUUUGGCUCUGAUGUGAGGGCUUCAGAGAGCUGUGGCUGGCUCUUGGAGAUGAGGAGAGGCUGUGCAGCCUCUGCUCCUGUCCCAAAUAAAUAAAUUAAAGCUGUGGGGUAAAGCCAGCAGCUGUUUUUUAAACAGAUUAAGGGUCUUAGUAUCCUCCUUGCCUUUUAGUGCACUGAGCCUUGCUGGGGCAGGCAGGCAGCAGGGCCCACCAGCUGCACGUGGGGCCAGUUUAUUGCUAAACCUUGUGUCUUGGCCCUGUCUGGCCCAGUAGUGUUUCUGUGCUAUGUCUGGUAUGUUAAAUACCCAAGAGUCAAUAAAAACAGGGAGCCACUUCCUAAUGAUGAAGGGCUGCAGGAGGAGAAGAGCAAGAGUUAAACCAGCGUAGGAGUUAAAUCUUGAAGCGCAGGCCCCUCAUGCUGUGAGCUGCCGAACACAUGGGCUGCCCAUCCUACCUCUCCUUGCUGAGGGUAGAAAGGCUGAGCAUGAUCAAGUUCCAUCAUCAAGUGAAAAGGCAAAACGCUGCACUAGCAGUGUACCCUGUGGAGUGGCUGCAAAUACACAACAUGCCCAAAGCUGGUUUGUGAACAAAAACAUAUUCUCACAUUACUCUCUGUCCUAUUUGCUUUAACUGCAUUUCCUGCAUUUUCACUACUUUGUUACUUUUGCAUGACUGAGGAAGGCAAACAGUAGCAUAACCAGUACCUUGGCAGUGAUUUGGUAGCUGCAGAACUUCCUUGUACAGCAGUACAGCAUUUGCUUCAUUUAUUAAGUCAUUAGAGAACUCUUACGACGUUAUAACGGCAGCUGCCUAAGGUAUUGUUUGUCUAAAUGUUGCACUGGGGGCCAGGGAACACACGACUGCCUCUGAACGUCAUAACCAGCCUGAAACUCCUGAUAACUACACUUUCCUCCCUCUCUCCAGCCUUUGAGUAAAAAAUAUUUGUAUUCAGAUGGUAUCUGUUUAAAUAUUUGUAUACCAGGUCUGGCCACGUACCUCAGCACUUCCAGCACAUUGGUAUCUAUAGGUGCUGAAUGAUUCCAAAG